UACGUAGGGGGCAAGCGUUGUCCGGAAUCAUUGGGCGUAAAGCGUGCGCAGGCGGUGAUGUAAGACAGUUGUGAAAUCCCCGGGCUCAACCUGGGAACUGCAUCUGUGACUGCAUCGCUGGAGUGCGGCAGAGGGGGAUGGAAUUCCGGCGUGUAGCAGUGAAAUGCGUAGAUAUGCGGAGGAACACCGAUGGCGAAGGCAAUCCCCUGGGCCUGCACUGACGCUCAUGCACGAAAGCGUGGGGAGCAAACAGG
rnacentral:rRNA from 1 species